rnacentral:tRNA from 2 species
GGGCGAUUGGCUCAGUGGUAGAGCGCCCGCUUUGCAUUGUCUACGAUGUCUGCGGGAGGCCCAGGGUUCAAUCCCCUGAUCGUCCA